GAUAUGGCUCAGGAUGAACGCUAGCGGCAGGCUUAACACAUGCAAGUCGAGGGGCAGCAUAAUGGUAGUAAUACUAUUGAUGGCGACCGGCGGACGGGUGCGUAACGCGUAUGCAACCUACCCUUUACAGGGGGAUAACACUGAGAAAUCGGUACUAAUACCCCAUAAUAUUCUGGGAGGCAUCUUUCGGAGUUGAAAGCUUUGGUGGUAAAGGAUGGGCAUGCGUUGUAUUAGCUAGUUGGUAAGGUAACGG
rnacentral:rRNA from 1 species